rnacentral:lncRNA from 10 species
GCUAAUCAGCAGGUGGUGAAGAAUAAAAAGAGAGAAGGACAUUAGAGAGCAUUAGCAGAGACAAGGCUUGUCCAAAGACCUAACUUGGGAAGCAUUGGGAUACAGCAGCUCAGCUGGAGAGAAAUUAGCAUGAGGUGAAAGAUGCAGUCUGUGACGGCAGCAUAGGCCUGACAAGAGCUUGGAGAGCAAUGACAGGUCAGGUCUGCUAUCAAUAAUAUCUAUGGAUGUCCACUAUGAGACCACAGGACCAGCUGAAACCCGCCAGAACCAAUAUGACCGACUGGAGCUCGCGCAAGGAUUUGCCGGGCCACGGGGUGAUCUUUUGACGUCACCGUCUGAACUUCCGCCCCAAGUUUCAUACUAACUCCCCCUAAAUUUUCACAUGCCACCCAUGAAGAGGCAACUGCACAUGGGCAAGGGACUUUCCAAACAUCCCCGUUCCCUGGCCAAUCACUAAUCUACCCUGAAACACUUUCCUCCAAAUCCUUCUUUUACAAAUAUGGCUUUCAAGCCAGUACAAGGAAGACAGUUUUGAGCCCAUCUCCUGUCACGUUGCUUGGCCGUUUUGCAAUAAACCUUUCUCUCUACAAAAAUCCCAGGCUUCAUGUUUACCUUUCCAUUGCUCACGGGUAAAUGGACCUGGUUUGGUUCUAUAACAAUCGUUUGGAUGAGAGAUUUGGUAAUGACAGGAAA